rnacentral:rRNA from 1 species
UGGCGGCAGGCUUAACACAUGCAAGUCGAACGCAUCCUUCGGGGUGAGUGGCAGACGGGUGAGUAACGCGUGGGAAUCUACCCUUUGGUACGGGAUAGCUCCGGGAAACUGGAAUUAAUACCGUAUGUGGCUUGAGAGCGAAAGAUUUAUCGCCAAAGGAUGAGCCCGCGUUGGAUUAGCUAGUUGGUGGGGUAAAGGCCUACCAAGGCGACGAUCCAUAGCUGGUCUGAGAGGAUGACCAGCCACAUUGGGACUGAGACACGGCCCAAACUCC